rnacentral:rRNA from 1 species
AUUGAACGCUGGCGGCAGGCCUAACACAUGCAAGUCGAGCGAGCGGCGGACGGGUGAGUAAUGUAUGGGGACUGCCCGAUAGAGGGGGAUCACUACUGGAAACGGUAGCUAAUACCGCAUACUAUCGGAUAACCCAUAUGGGAUUAUCUAGUAGGUGAGGUAAUUGCUCACCUAUGCGACGAUCCCUAGCUGGUCUGAGAGGCUGUGCAGCAACACGGGAACGGAGAAAAGGCCCAUACGCCCAGGGAGGCAGCAGGGGGGAAGAUUGCACAAGGGGCGCAAGCCGGAUGCAGCCAUGCAGCGUGUAUGAAGAAGGCCCUAGGGUUGUAAAGUACGUUCAGUCGGGAGGCGUUACCGACAGAAGAGGCACCGGCUAACUCCGUGCCAGCCGCCGCGGUAAUAC